rnacentral:rRNA from 1 species
CCUACGGGAGGCAGCAGUGGGGAAUAUUGGGCAAUGGAGGGAACUCUGACCCAGCGACGCCGCGUGCGGGAUGAAGGCCUUCGGGUUGUAAACCGCUUUCAGCAAGGAAGAAGCGAAAGUGACGGUACUUGCAGAAGAAGCACCGGCUAACUAUGUGCCAGCAGCCGCGGUAAUACAUAGGGUGCAAGCGUUGUCCGGAAUUAUUGGGCGUAAAGAGCUCGUAGGUGGUUCGUCACGUCGGAUGUGAAAAUCUGGGGCUUAACCCCAGACCUGCAUUCGAUACGGGCGAGCUAGAGUGUGGUAGGGGAGACUGGAAUUCCUGGUGUAGCGGUGGAAUGCGCAGAUAUCAGGAGGAACACCAAUGGCGAAGGCAGGUCUCUGGGCCAUUACUGACACUGAGGAGCGAAAGCGUGGGGAGCGAACGGGAUUAGAUACCCUGGUAGUCCACGCCGUAAACGGUGGGCACUAGUUGUGGGAACCUUCCACGGUUUCUGCGACGCAGCUAACGCAUUAAGCAAUCCGCCUGGGGAGUACGACCGCAAGGUUAAAACUCAAAUGAAUUGACGG